AGUGAACGCUGGCGGUAGGCCUAACACAUGCAAGUCGAACGGCAGCACAGUAAGAGCUUGCCCUUACGGGUGGCGAGUGGCGGACGGGUGAGGAAUACAUCGGAAUCUACUUUUUCGUGGGGGAUAACGUAGGGAAACUUACGCUAAUACCGCAUACGACCUACGGGUGAAAGCAGGGGAUCUUCGGACCUUUCGCGAUUGAAUGAGCCGAUGUCGGAUUAGCUAGUUGGCGGGGUAAAGGCCCACCAAGGCAACGAUCCGUAGCUGGUCUGAGAGGAUGAUCAGCCACACUGGAACUGAGACACGGUCCAGACUCCUACGGGAGGCAGCAGUGGGGAAUAUUGGACAAUGGGCGCAAGCCUGAUCCAGCCAUACCGCGUGGGUGAAGAAGGCCUUCGGGUUGUAAAGCCCUUUUGUUGGGAAAGAAAAGCAGCAGGUUAAUACCCCGCUGUUCUGACGGUACCCAAAGAAUAAGCACCGGCUAACUUCGUG
rnacentral:rRNA from 1 species